CCCACCUCAGCCUCCCCAGUGGUUGGGACCACAAAUGUGCACCACCACAACUGGUAAAUUUUUUAUUUAUUGUAGAGAUGUGGGUCUCAAUAUUUUGCCCAGGCUGGUCUCAAACUCCUAGGCUCAAGCUAGCCUCCCAAAGUGCUGGGAUUAUAGGUAUGAGCCACUGGCUUUUUUUGUUUGUUUGUUUGUUUUUGUUUUUGAUAUGGAGUUUUGCUCUUGUUGCCCAGGCUGGAGUGCAAUGGCGCUAUCUUGGCUCACUGCAACCUCUGCCUCCCAGGUUCAAGUAAUUCUCCUCCCUCAGCCUUCUGAGUAGCUGGGAUUACAGGCAUGCGCCAACACCUCCAGUUAAUUUUGUAUUUUUAGUAGAGACGGGGUUUCUCCAUGUUGGUCAGACUGGUCUCAAACUCCUGACCGCAGGUGAUCUGCCUGCCUCAGCCUCCAAAAGUGCUGGGAUUACAGGUGCGAGCCACUGCCCCUGGCCUGACUUUUUUAAAAUCAGGAAAUUUAGAUGAAUCAAAAAAGAAAUUACCUUGUCCCUAUUGUUCUCUUCUCAUUAUGAAUCCCAGGAAUUUGAGACCAGCUCGGGCAACGUGGCAAAACUCAGUCUCUAUAAAAAAUACAAAAAAUUAGCCCUGUGUGGUGGUACGCGUCUGUAGUCCCAGCUACCUGGGACACUGACGUGGGAAGAUCACUUGAGCCCAAGAGGUUGAGGCUGCAGUGAGCUGUGAUUGCGCCACUGCACCCCAUCCUGGGUGACAGGGAGAGACCUUGUCGAAAAAAAAAAAAGGCCGGGCACGGUGGCUCACGCUUAUAAUCCCAGCACUUUAGGAGGCCAAGGCGGGCAGAUCACAAGGUCAGGAGUUCCAGACCAGCCUGGCCGAUAUGGCGAAACCCCGUCUCUAUUAAAAAUACAAAAAUUAGUCGGGCGCAGUGGUGGGCGGCUGUAGUCCCAGCUACUUGGGAGGCUGAGGCAGGAGAAUCGCUUGAACGUGGGAGGCAGAGGUUGCGGUGAGCCAGGAUCGCGUCACUGCACUCCAGCCUGGGCAACAGAGUGAGACUCCGUCCCGUCUCAAAAAAAAAAAAUUCUGGAAAAUUACAUUAAAAUUUAAAAUUUACUCAUUAUAAUGCCAUUUUUCUAGAUUACAGGAGACGUUCACUUUUCGCCUUAUAUAAUUCAGUAUAAGGCCGGGCGCAGUGGCUCAUGCCUGUAAUCCCAAAACUUUGGGAGGCCGAGGCGGGCGGAUCACUUGAGGUCAGGAAUUCGAGGCCAGCCUGACCAACAUGGCGAAACUCCGUCUCUACUAAAAAUACAAAAAUUAGCCAGGCGUGGUGGCACGCACCUGUAGUUCCAGCUACUCAGGAGGCUGAGGCAGGAGAAUCGCUUGAACCUGGGAGGAGGAAGUUGCAGUGAGCUGAGAUCACGCCACUGCACUCCAGCCUGGUGACAGAGCGAGACUCCACACACACACACACACACACACACACACACACACAAACACAAACACCAUAUAUAUACAUAUAUAACUUUUGUAAUAAUAAAAAACAUACUUCUACUUAAAGAGAAUAUCAAUAAGCCCUAAAGUUUUUCAUAGUGAAAGCCCUUCAAAAUUGCUUGACAAAUAAAUUCUAAGUAUACUAACUAUGGGAAAAAUGUAUGCUUGCGAAGACUUUGUUAGACACAUUUUCUUAAAUGCUGAAGCUAUAAUUUAAAAAUGAAGAUUUCAGGAGACAAAAUAAAGUCAGCUGGAUAAAAAAUGUGCAGAGAGAAAAAAUAUACCAAAAUGUUAAGAGUGAGUGUCUCGGCCGGGCGCAGUGGCUCAUGCCUGUAAUCCCGGCACUUUGGGAGGCUGAUGCGGGCGGAUCACGGGGUCAAGAGUUUGAGAUCAGCCGGCCAACAUAGUGAAACCCCGUCUCUACUAAAAAUACAAAAAUUAGCCGGGCAUGGUGAUGCAUGCCUGUAGUCCCAGCCACUUGGGAGGCUUAGGGAGGAGAAUCACUUGAACCCGGGAGGCAGAGGUUGUGGUGAGCUGAGAUCGUGCCACUGCCCUUCAGCCUGGGCAACAGAGCAGGACUCUGUCUCAAAAAAAAAAAAAGAGUGGGUGUCUCUUGGCACUGAGACAAUGAAUCCCAACAAAUUCCCAACAAAUGAUAUUUUUUCCUUAAAUUUCAGAAUUUUUGAAGUUUUACACAAUGAAUAUUUUGUGAUCUGAAAAUUUUUUCUUCCCCUCCUCUUCCAA
rnacentral:lncRNA from 10 species